CUUUCCAGAAAUCCCUAUUCUGUGCUCCUGCUUAUACAGCACUUCAUUGUCUUCUACAUGCAAGCAGGGGAGCCACAAAGGUACAGAAGAGUUCUCAUGGCCUGUCAAUUCUGAGGUCUUUCUGGGGACUCCUUCAAAGAACUCAUUGUUCCAGCUAGGCCAACGACCCUCUAAUGACUUGAUUGCUUCAGUAAUCAACAUAAAAUGUAUAAAUGAAGAGAAAUUCAUUACUAAUUAUUUCUCUUCUCGGAGGUCAGAUGAAUAAGUGAUAUGCCUUUGCAAAUAAGGAAGGAAAAUGAUUCCCUCCACAGGAUUCCAUUUCUCCCCUAAACCCAAAGAAAGGUGCCUGCUUCCCCUUCACAUCCGACUAUGAUUGUACGUUUUCUGAGGCUUCCCCAGCCAUGUGGAACUAUGGUUGCCAAAAGACAUUUCUGCCCCAAAUCUUUGAGUCAGCAGCUCCAUGUAGGCAC